rnacentral:rRNA from 1 species
GAGUUUGAUCAUGGCUCAGGAUGAACGCUGGCGGCGUGCCUAAUACAUGCAAGUCGAGCGAACAGACGAGGAGCUUGCUCCUCUGACGUUAGCGGCGGACGGGUGAGUAACACGUGGAUAACCUACCUAUAAGGACUGGGAUAACUUCGGGGAAACCGGAGCUAAUACCGGAUAAUAUAUUGAACCGCAUGGUUCAAUAGUGAAAGACGGUUUUGCUGUCACUUAUAGAUGGAUCCGCGCCGCAUUAGCUAGUUGGUAAAGUAACGGCUUACCAAGGCAACGAUGCGUAGCCGACCUGAGAGGGUGAUCGGCCACACUGGAACUGAGACACGGUCCAGACUCCUACGGGAGGCAGCAGUAGGGAAUCUUCCGCAAUGGGCGAAAGCCUGACGGAGCAACGCCGCGUGAGUGAUGAAGGUCUUCGGAUCGUAAAACUCUGUUAUUAGGGAAGACAAAUGUGUAAGUAACUAUGCACGUCUUGACGGUACCUAAUCAGAAAGCCACGGC